UGGGGAAUAUUGCACAAUGGGCGCAAGCCUGAUGCAGCCAUGCCGCGUGUGUGAAGAAGGCCUUCGGGUUGUAAAGCACUUUCAGCGAGGAGGAAGGCAUAAAGGUUAAUAACCUUUGUGAUUGACGUUACUCGCAGAAGAAGCACCGGCUAACUCCGUGCCAGCAGCCGCGGUAAUACGGAGGGUGCAAGCGUUAAUCGGAAUUACUGGGCGUAAAGCGCACGCAGGCGGUUUGUUAAGUCAGAUGUGAAAUCCCCGCGCUUAACGUGGGAACUGCAUUUGAAACUGGCAAGCUAGAGUCUUGUAGAGGGGGGUAGAAUUCCAGGUGUAGCGGUGAAAUGCGUAGAGACCUGGAGGAAUACCGGUGGCGAAGGCGGCCCCCUGGACAAAGACUGACGCUCAGGUGCGAAAGCGUGGGGAGCAAACA
rnacentral:rRNA from 1 species